AUAAAGUUUUAUUUUGGCUUGUAAAUUUAUUAUUAGUUUAAUUUACAUGUAAAUUUUUGUAUGAGAUUUUAUUUAUUUUAAUAAUAAAUAAAUUUAUUUUAUUCGCAGUAAUUAAUAUUAUUAAUUAAGGAAACUUAGAUAUAGUAAUACUAAAAAGCAUUGGCUAAAUUUGUGCCAGCAGCCGCGGUUAUACGAAUAAUGCAAGUAAAUUUUUUUUAGUUGAAGUUAAAUUGUUUAAUAAUAAAAUAAAAAUAAAUUUAUUAGGUGAAAUUUUAAAUUUAUAUAUUUUUUCUAUAAAAUAAUUGAAGCUUAAAAAUUUUAGUAAUAAACUAGGAUUAGAUACCCUAUUAUUUAAAAUGUAAAUUUAAAAACUAAGGUAGUAGUAGUUAUGUUCUUGAAACUUAAAAAAUUUGGCGGUAUUUUAGUCUAUUCAGAGGAACCUGUUCUGUAAUCGAUAAUCCACGAUGGACCUUACUUAAGUUUGUAAUCAGUUUAUAUACCGUCGUUAUUAGAAUAUUUUAUAAGAAUGUUAAUUUUCAGAAGUUUUUAAAAGAAAAUAUAUCAGAUCAAGGUGUAGCUAAUAUUUAAGUAGAAAUGGGUUACAAUAAAAGUAUUUAUACGAAUAUAAAUUUGAAAUAUUUAUUGAAGGUGGAUUUGAUAGUAAAAUUAUAAAGAUUAAUAAUUUGAUUUUAGCUCUAAAAUAUGCACACAUCGCCCGUCACUCUUACUACUAAGGUAAGAUAAGUCGUAACAUAGUAGAUGUACUGGAAAGUGUACCUAGAAUGC
rnacentral:ncRNA from 1 species